rnacentral:rRNA from 1 species
AUAUGAGCCGUCCUCGCAUGGGGGUGGUUGGAAAGUUUUUCGGUCAGGGAUGGGCUCGCGGCCUAUCAGCUUGUUGGUGGGGUGAUGGCCUACCAAGGCGACGACGGGUAGCCGGCCUGAGAGGGCGACCGGCCACACUGGGACUGAGACACGGCCCAGACUCCUACGGGAGGCAGCAGUGGGGAAUAUUGCACAAUGGGCGAAAGCCUGAUGCAGCGACGCCGCGUGAGGGAUGAAGGCCUUCGGGUUGUAAACCUCUUUCAGCAGGGAAGAAGCGCAAGUGACGGUACCUGCAGAAGAAGCGCCGGCUAACUACGUGCCAGCAGCCGCGGUAAUACGUAGGGCGCAAGCGUUGUCCGGAAUUAUUGGGCGUAAAGAGCUCGUAGGCGGUUUGUCGCGUCUGGUGUGAAAACUCGAGGCUCAACCUCGAGCUUGCAUCGGGUACGGGCAGACUAGAGUGCGGUAGGGGAGACUGGAAUUCCUGGUGUAGCGGUGGAAUGCGCAGAUAUCAGGAGGAACACCGAUGGCGAAGGCAGGUCUCUGGGCCGCAACUGACGCUGAGGAGCGAAAGCAUGGGGAGCGAACAGGAUUAGAUACCCUGGUAGUCCAUGCCGUAAACGUUGGGCACUAGGUGUGGGGCUCAUUCCACGAGUUCCGUGCCGCAGCAAACGCAUUAAGUGCCCCGCCUGGGGAGUACGGCCGCAAGGCUAAAACUCAAAGGAAUUGACGGGGGCCCGCACAAGCGGCGGAGCAUGCGGAUUAAUUCGAUGCAACGCGAAGAACCUUACCAAGGCUUGACAUGCACGAGAAGCCACCAAAGAUGGUGGUCUCUUUGGACACUCGUGCACAGGUGGUGCAUGGUUGUCGUCAGCUCGUGUCGUGAGAUGUUGGGUUAAGUCCCGCAACGAGCGCAACCCUCGUCCCAUGUUGCCAGCGGGUUAUGCCGGGGACUCAUGGGAGACUGCCGGGGUCAACUCGGAGGAAGGUGGGGAUGACGUCAAAUCAUCAUGCCCCUUAUGUCUUGGGCUUCACGCAUGCUACAAUGGCCGGUACAAAGGGCUGCGAUACCGUAAGGUGGAGCGAAUCCCAAAAAGCCGGUCUCAGUUCGGAUUGGGGUCUGCAACUCGACCCCAUGAAGUCGGAGUCGCUAGUAAUCGCAGAUCAGCAACGCUGCGGUGAAUACGUUCCCGGGCCUUGUACACACCGCCCGUCAAGUCACGAAAGUCGGUAACACCUAGAAGC